rnacentral:rRNA from 1 species
GGCAGAGGAGCCAAGCGUUGUCCGGAUUGACUGGGCGUAAAGGGCUCGUAGGCGGUCUGUCACGUCGGGAGUGAAAACUCGGGGCUCAACCCCGAGCCUGCUUCCGAUACGGGCAGACUAGAGGUAUGCAGGGGAGAAUGGAAUUCCUGGUGUAGCGGUGAAAUGCGCAGAUAUCAGGAGGAACACCGGUGGCGAAGGCAGGUCUCUGGGCCACUACUGACGCUGAGAAGCGAAAGCAUGGGGAGCGAACAGG